rnacentral:rRNA from 1 species
CCAGCACCCCGAGUGGUCGGGACGAUUAUUGGGCCUAAAGCAUCCGUAGCCGGUUUUACAAGUCCUCCGUUAAAUCCAACUGCUUAACAGAUGGGCCGCGGAGGAUACUAUAAAACUAGGAGGCAGGAGAGGCAAGCGGUACUCAGUGGGUAGGGGUAAAAUCCGUUGAUCCAUUGAAGACCACCAGUGGCGAAGGCGGCUUGCCAGAAUGCGCUCGACGGUGAGGGAUGAAAGCUGGGGGAGCAAACCGGAUUAGAUACCCGGGUAGUCCCAGCUGUAAACGAUGCAGACUCGGUGAUGGACUAGCUUUAUGCUAGUCCAGUGCCGCAGGGAAGCCGUUAAGUCUGCCGCCUGGGUAGUACGGUCGCAAGACUG